rnacentral:misc_RNA from 1 species
CACUCGCCAUCUAUUUUCAUAGUUCAACUCUUUGACAACACGAAAAAACCAUUGUUCAACUCUUUGACAACAUGAAAAAACCUAAAAUUCUGCCCUUCUAUCCAAAGGAUGGGGGGGCAGAGGMCUUUGGUG